rnacentral:lncRNA from 12 species
AAAUCACACUGCUGAUUUUUCCAAGCCUUCUGCUAGGGUUUGCUGCAUACUGUUCACCUGGAGAGAAUGGCCUGUUGGGAAUUCCUGACUACUUUGGGAAUACUUCAGAUGUAAUACAGACUGCAAAUGUUAGCUUGCACCAGGAUGCCCAGAGGUGAGUGAGCGUUUCUCUGGCCAGAACAGGAAGAUCUAAGCCAUAUUCUUGUAGCUGGCCAGCAUAUGGAGGAGGACUCUCACUAAAGGUAUUGUCAGUAUUAGGUUUUCUUUCUACUUUUUUGUUGGUAGUGAUGGAUUGUUAAUAUCUCUGUGAUAAAAAAUUGCUUAUUG